GACGAACGCUGGCGGCGUGCUUAACACAUGCAAGUCGAGCGAGGCCUUCCCUUCGGGGGAGUGUCCUAGCGGCGAACGGGUGAGUAACACGUGGGCAAACUGCACUCAGCUCUGGGAUAACCCCAAGAAAUUGGGGCUAAUACCGGAUACGACCGCCGGCCGCAUGGGCUGGUGGCGGAAUGAUGUGUCGGCUGAGGAUGGGCCCGGGGCCUAUCGGCUUGGUGGUGGGGUAGGGGCCUACCAAGGCGACGACGGGUAGCCGGCCGGAGAGGGUGACCGGCCACACUGGGACUCAGACACGGCCCAGCCUCCUACGGGGGGCAGCAGUGGGGAAUAUUGCGCAAUGGGCGGAAGCCUGACGCAGCGACGCCGCGUGGGGGAUGACGGCCUUCGGGUUGUAAACCUCUUUCAGCAGGGACGAAGCGAAAGUGACGGUCCCUGCAGUAGAAGCACCGGCCAACUACGUGCCAGCAGCCGCCGUAAUAC
rnacentral:rRNA from 1 species